AUACUGGCAAGUCGAACGCUUUUUCUUUCACCGGAGCUUGCUCCACCGAAAGAAAAAGAGUGGCGAACGGGUGAGUAACACGUGGGUAACCUGCCCAUCAGAAGGGGAUAACACUUGGAAACAGGUGCUAAUACCGUAUAACACUAUUUUCCGCAUGGAAGAAAGUUGAAAGGCGCUUUUGCGUCACUGAUGGAUGGACCCGCGGUGCAUUAGCUAGUUGGUGAGGUAACGGCUCACCAAGGCAACGAUGCAUAGCCGACCUGAGAGGGUGAUCGGCCACACUGGGACUGAGACACGGCCCAGACUCCUACGGGAGGCAGCAGUAGGGAAUCUUCGGCAAUGGACGAAAGUCUGACCGAGCAACGCCGCGUGAGUGAAGAAGGUUUUCGGAUCGUAAAACUCUGUUGUUAGAGAAGAACAAGGAUGAGAGUAAAAUGUUCAUCCCUUGACGGUAUCUAACCAGAAAGCCACGGCUAACUACGUGCCAGCAGCCGCGGUAAUACGUAGGUGGCAAGCGUUGUCCGGAUUUAUUGGGCGUAAAGCGAGCGCAGGCGGUUUCUUAAGUCUGAUGUGAAAGCCCCCGGCUCAACCGGGGAGGGUCAUUGGAAACUGGGAGACUUGAGUGCAGAAGAGGAGAGUGGAAUUCCAUGUGUAGCGGUGAAAUGCGUAGAUAUAUGGAGGAACACCAGUGGCGAAGGCGGCUCUCUGGUCUGUAACUGACGCUGAGGCUCGAAAGCGUGGGGAGCGAACAGGAUUAGAUACCCUGGUAGUCCACGCCGUAGACGAUGAGUGCUAAGUGUUGGAGGGUUUCCGCCCUUCAGUGCUGCAGCAAACGCAUUAAGCACUCCGCCUGGGGAGUACGACCGCAAGGUUGAAACUCAAAGGAAUUGACGGGGGCCCGCACAAGCGGUGGAGCAUGUGGUUUAAUUCNAAGCAACGCGAAGAACCUUACCAGGUCUUGACAUCCUUUGACCACUCUAGAGAUAGAGCUUCCCCUUCGGGGGCAAAGUGACAGGUGGUGCAUGGUUGUCGUCAGCUCGUGUCGUGAGAUGUUGGGUUAAGUCCCGCAACGAGCGCAACCCUUAUUGUUAGUUGCCAUCAUUUAAUUGGGCACUCUAGCGAGACUGCCGGUAAAAACCGGAGGAAGGUGGGGAUGACGUCAAUCAUCAGCCCCUUAGACCGGGGCUACCACGUGCUAAAUGGGAAAUCAACAAAUUUCAGAAUCCCGAGGCUAGGCUAUCCCUUAAACUUUCCCCCUUUCAAUUUNNNUCNNCCCCCCCCAAAAAACCGAAAACCUUAAAUCGGAAAACCCCCCCGUNNAAAUUUCCGCCCU
rnacentral:rRNA from 1 species